rnacentral:rRNA from 1 species
AUUGAACGCUGGCGGCAGGCCUAACACAUGCAAGUCGAACGAGUGGCGGAUGGGUGAGUAAUGUCUGGGAAACUGCCCGAUGGAGGGGGAUAACUACUGGAAACGGUAGCUAAUACCGCAUACCAUCGGAUGUGCCCAGAUGGGAUUAGCUUGUAGGUGAGGUAACGGCUCACCUAGGCGACGAUCCCUAGCUGGGCUGAGAGGAUGAACCGACACACUGGAGCUGAGAAACGGUCCAGACGACUACGGGAGGCAGCAGUGGGGAGUAUUGCACAAGGGGGGAAAUGCUGAUUCAGCCAUGCCGAGUGUAUGAAGAAGGCCUUAUGGUGUUAAAGUACUUUCAGCGGGGAGGCGUUACCCGCAGAAGAAGCACCGGCUAACGCCGUGCCAGCAGCCGCGGUAAUAC